CGAAGGGUGCAAGCGUUGUUCGGAUUCACUGGGCGUAAAGGGUGCGUAGGCGGUCGGGUAAGUCUGAUGUGAAAUCUCAGAGCUCAACUCUGAAACUGCAUUGGAUACUAUUCGGCUUGAGGUCUGGAGGGGGGACUGGAAUUCUCGGUGUAGCAGUGAAAUGCGUAGAUAUCGAGAGGGACACCAGUGGCGAAGGCGAGUCCCUGGACAGAUCCUGACGCUGAGGCACGAAAGCUAGGGGAGCAAACAGGAUUAGAUACCCUGGUAGUCCUAGCCGUAAACGGUGUGUAUUUGCUGUAAAAGGAAUCGACCCCUUUUGUGGCGUAGCAAACGCGUUAAAUACACCGCCUGGGAAGUACGGUCGCAAGAUUA
rnacentral:rRNA from 1 species